CUUGAGCUUUACCAGGGGGCUGUAUCAACCCAUCACUAUUUUUCACUUUUGUAAAAAAUAAAGAACCAAGGUAGUUGAAAUGUAAAUACUCUAAUUUUGCCUAAUUAUUGUAUAACAUCAUGUGUCUUAUAUUAACUGCUAUCUCUUGUAUAUAAGCCAUUAGUUAUCUUUCUGCAAUGGCAAGAGAGGGUGUGUGCAGAGAGGCGGGGGUGGGAGGGGGACCAUGAAGUUGCCAUGUUAUUGAAAAGCAACUAGGGGUUCCCUUUGUGUUUUAUGUUUACUUUCUGUAGGCAAGUCAAAUCAUUGACAGGGUCUUGAAUUCUUAAGUCCCUCCAAAAGUCUCAAGACCUCUCACUGUGUCCUAACAAUUUAACCUUUUCUAAAAGAAUUAUCUGGCUUUUAAAUGUUCAAAUCUUCCUAGCUUAGGUUUGUUGUUGUUGUUGUUGUUUUCAAGUAUUGGAACAAUAGUAGAUGAGAAAAACAUUUGGCCUUCACACAUUUUCCUUCUGGACAUGAGUUAAUUAUGUCCAGUAUAGGGUGUGAAAGGAAAACAAAUAUUGGGGCCCCCAAAUCAUUGAGCUAAAGGGGAAAGUCAAGCUGGGAACUGUUAGGGCAAACCUGCCUCCCAUCCUAUUCAAAGUCACCUCUUUGCUCACUGAGAUAAAUGCAUAUCUGAUUGCUUCCUUUGGAGAGGCUAAUCAGAAACCCAGAAGAAUGCAACCAUUUGUCUCUUAUCUACCUAUGGCGUGAGUCCUCAACCUUGAAAAAAUAAACUUUCUAAAUUAACUGAGACCUGUCUCACAUAUUCGGGGUUCAGAAAUGGAAGAUUAAUCAUUUCUUAAGUGAUUUGCAAAAGGUAAAAUGUGGAAAGAGCACUAGAUUUGGACACAGAACUGGUUUCUAGUCUGGCUUUGCAAGUCAGUUUAACAAUUCUUUUAUCUGCAAAGCAAGAAUAAUAUCUCAUAGUGUUGUGAUAUAUUUGAGGUACUUUGUCAUCUGCGAGGUGCUUUACAAAUGUGAGAUUUCUUCAUUCUUUGAUUAACUUAUGUUGGGACUCAAAAAGCAAUACACCCAAAGACUGACACUUUAACAUACUGAGAGACCUUAGAAGCUGCGUUGGAAUCAUGGCCUCUCUAACCUUUUCUUGUUCCCCCACAGCCCUGCCCCUGCCUGUGCAGGGAGGGACUCUCUAUGAAAUUUCCUUAUCAGACCAAAAAAGCUUCUUUCCAAAAAAAAAAAAAAAAAAAAAGCAAUUGUCUUAAACGGUCUCCCUAGGGAUCUUAUGGGAUCUUAUCAAAUAACCAGGAAAUAUUAACAUCUAGAGAGACUGGGAGUCAUCACCACACCAGACAAACUUUUUUUUUUUUUUGGAAAAGUGGUCUUGCUAUGUUGCCCAGUCUGGAAUACAGGGACCAUUCAUAGGUACCAUCAUAGUACACUAUAGGCUCAAACUCCUAGGCUCACUGCCAGCACACCUGGCUAAAGACUUUUCAUCUAUUCUUUGAAAGGAAGCUCCAAGAGAUUACAUGAAUAACUUUAUUUGCAUAAUAAGACAAACUUUGUUCCUGUGCAGCUCCACCUCCUGCCUCCCAGGUCCAGGUCUCCUCUAUGAAAAAGGGUAAAUAACCUUCUGUCCCCCAUUGGGUUAUUGGAUAAUCAUUUUCCUGUGAAUCCCCCAUGCUAUGCAUGUUAAAAUAAAAUUUUGUAUGCCUUUUCUCCUAUUAAUCUGCCUUUUGUCAGUUGAUUUUCAGUGAACCUUCAGAGGGUAAUGGAGAAGUUUUCCCUUGAUCCCUACACUUACGCAACUCUACAUACUAAAUUAAAAUUAAAUCUAUUUUUUUUUUUUUUUUGAGAUGGAGUCCGCUCUGCUGCCCAGGCUGGAGUGCAAUGGCACAAUCUCGGCUUACUGCAACCUCUGCCUCCCAGAUUCAAGUGAUUCUCCUGCCUCAGCCUCCCAAGUAGCUGGGAUUACAGGCACCUGCCACUACGACUGGCUAAUUUUUGUAUUUUUAGUAGAGAGCAGAUUUCACUAUGUUGGCCAGGCUGGUCUGGAACUCCUGAUGUCAUGAUCCACCCACCUCGGCCUCCCAAAGUGCUGGGAUUACAGGCGUGAGCCCCCGCGCCUGGCCUUUAAAUUAAAUCUAUUAAUCUUUUUUUCUUUUUUUUUUUUUUUUGAGACAGAGUCUCAUUUUGUCACCCCGGCUGGAGUGCAGUAACACAAACACAACUCACUGCAGCCUUGACCUCCUGGGCUCAAGCAAUCCUUCUGCCUCAGCCUCCUAAGUAGCUGGGACUACAGGUGCAUGCCACCAUGCCAAGCUAAUUUUUAAAUUUUUUUCUAAAGAUGGGAUUUUGCUAUGUUGCCCAGGCUAAUAUCUAUUAAGUCUUUUCUCCUAGGAUUGAAAGAGAAAACUGGAAAGAUUGAUGGACUUAUGCUAACACAAUCAAGCCUAAAAACCAGAACAGUUGUGACAAGGUUGAAGUUCAUUCAUCAGAAGUGAAUGAGAUGGAAGUAUUCACCUCUAUAAUUUUUUUGCUCACCUUAAUAAUGAUGACUGACCAAUUAGGCUGGUCAUUGACAUUCAUUAUAAAGAUGGCCAUAACAGAUGUUAUCAGCUCCACUGAAGUAAUUUAAAGAAAAAACAGUAUAAGACUGGAAGUUAGGAUGCCUAGGUUUAGUCUCCUGCCAAAGAGAAGGCAUGUGAUUUAAGGUUAAUCACUCAGCCUUUCUGAGCCCAUUUCCACUUCUGUGAAAUUACGGUUUGGAGUAAAUGACUUUCAUAUUUCUUAUUUGGUGUCAUUGUGAUUCCUUUUCCAGCCAUGCCUCCCAAUGAUGGAGCUGAGGCAGGUAUUUCCCUUUCAUUACAUUUUUUAUUACAUUUUUAUAUCUCAAAUUUAUCUGGAACAGCAUUUUAAACUGUUUCUUAUUUUGUGCCUACUGAUCAUUGCAUUUUAGGUUAGUCAGAAUACCAGUACUGGCUUUUAUGAUGUGAUGUUUGAAAGGAUGCUUCCAAAGGAAAUUUAAAGAAACUGAUAAUUAAAUUUAUCAGUUCAGAGAAUAAAUUAGGCAGGUUCUUUUAACAACAAAAAUGAUGUUCUCAACACAGUCUAAAUUAAUUAUAAGCCAAAAUGAUCAUAUUCUAAGAUUAUGCAUAUCUAAACCAUAGAAUGAGACUGCUGAUUUAAUUAAAUCAGAUCAAAUAAGAAGGUUUUUCUUCAAUAACACAUCAUCGCUCAAGCUUAAAAAUAUUUUGAAAGUGAGAGAACACCAUAUUCUAACCUCAUCUUUACAGAAAAGAAUUUUGCUUAGGGGAACCAAACAAGUAUGCUACAUCUUGACUUUACAGCUGAUAAGGCUGUCUUCUAAAGAAACUGAAGAAAGUGCUCUCCCUUGAAAUGUUUAAUGUUAAUCAACCUGGUGAGGCUAUUUAUAAAUCAGCCUUAAGGAACUAAAUUGAAUCAGAGCCUCCGUAUAAUGUCACAUACCUUGUCACCUUUUACUCAUUUACCUGUCAACCUUCCUUGGCUGCCACAAAGGCCAAAUAAGCAAGAAGUAAAAACUUAGAGAAAUGCCUUGAGACCAGAAGAUUUUCUUGAGGUAGGAUCAAGCAGGAUGGGGGCUGAAUACUGGGUCUCUGAAGCUGGCUACCUGCAGCAGCUGUGCUAGUGUCUACUGUAUUGAGUACAUUGCUACUGGUAUGAAAUCAAGGUAUGGUUAGCAAGAAAGAGGAGGAAAUGGCUUCUGGUUAGGCAACAAACACUGUCUUUCAUACCUGUUAUCCAACAUACCCACAACUGAUUGAUUUCCUCUGAGUGAGUACCUGUUCAAUCAUGAUUUCCAACCUUUACUCCUUUUCUUAUAAGCUACAGAACCCCUAAAGAAAAAGCAAUCUAUGCAAAAUAGAAAACAAAACAAAACAAAAAACUAACAACUUCUUUCACUUGAGCAUUCUAAUAUGGGAGACCAGAAUAUGCCACCCCAAAAUAUAAAGGACUGUUGAGCUGAAGACAAUUAAGAGGAUACAGGAAAGCUCUCUGCCCUCCUUCUAUAAGCCUAAAAGCAGGACAUAGAUUUACAAAGACAAAAGAAAGAUAUUCGGCCUGUGGCUCACCCCAGUCCCUCCAUGCUUUCCCCAACCCUCUUCUACCAGGGAGAACAAAGGUUUAAACUUUGUUAACCACUGAAGACAAUUUGUCAUCCCAGAGAGGUACCAGUGGAAUCUACAUUUAUAAGCUUUAUUAACUAGAAUUUGUCAACCUAUUAUUUACUUUUCCACAAAUUUUAGCACCUAAAAACUCAAAGUCCUUUUCCUUUGUCUUGUCAUGUCUCUAAAAAUUUACUUUUCUUUCUUGAAGAUGCUAUUUAAACUGGAAGUCAAAGCCACCUCUAGGAGAACUACUUAUUUUCUGGAUGUCUCCCAUGUAAAUAUAAAAAAUAUACAUGUUAGUAAACUUCUGUCUUUUUCUUGUUCAUCUGUCUUUUGUAACAGGGAUCUGUUCCAACUAAGAACCUAUGGUAGUUACUAUUGCCCUACAUGUAACUGCAAUGGAAUCAUAAACCUCUGCAGAACAGUUUGUAAACCAUUUUUCUGGUUGAUCAGUUUUUCUGAAAUUAUGACAGCCAAAAAGAAAGAUAUAAUUUAGGGCUAGUUUUGAAAGCACAGAAUUGAUCUAUCAGCUUACUGUUUUAUAUCUGGUAGAUUUUUUUUUAAACCCACUUUCUGUUCAUCUACACAUCAGAUUAACCAAACUCUUCAUUACCUUGGUAAACUUACCCAUAAGGCCCACAGUGCUGAAGACCCAGGCUGGGGAGGCUAUUCUCUAGUAUAUGCUACGUGUCUGCUCUGCCAGUCUAGUUAGUAUUUAUUAAGAUUCAGUUGUGCUUCCCUAAGCUGUUGUACUUGUAAUAAUGUAGUUUGAAUAUUAUAUAAACAAAAACAUGUAAAAAUAAAAGUGUUAUUGUUUUAUGAAAAUCUAGUAGACAAAAAUUAACCAGAACUAAUGUAAGAGCUAAAAUUCUAAAAUAUGUAGAUUAAAAUGUAGGAGACAAUCUUUGAGACCUUGGGAUAAGCUAAAAUUUCUUAGAUGGGGCACAAAAAGCACAACUAUAAAAGAAAAAAAGCAAUAAAUUGGACUUCAUCAAUGUGAAAAACUUUUAAUAUUCAAAAGAAAAUGAAAAGGCAAGACAUGAACUGAGAGAAAAUAUCUGCAACACAUAUACCUGAUAUAAGAAAUACCCACAAUAAUAGAGAAUAAAUAAAGAACUCAUACAACUCAAUGAGAAAAGCAACUCUAUUUUUAAAAAAUUAAUCAAAAGCAACAACAAAGAGAAAUAGAGAGGAAGGGAAGAAAGAGAGAAAAAGCAAUAUGCAAUCUUAAUACCAUAUAACCAUAAUUACAAACACCAUUGUUUACUGAAUGCAUCCUCAAUGUCAGUGCUAGAUGUUGUAUAUCAGCUGUCUGGUCUGAUUCUUGAAAUAACUGAAUGAGAAGGGUAUAAUUAUUUUCCCCAUGUUGUAGAUGGUGUCUGAAAGAGAUUGCAUAACUUGUUCAAAGUUACAUAGUCUGUAUGUGGCAGAACCACAGCUGGAACUGUGGCACUAAAUCAAAUAAUCUUUCCAGUAAGGAAAAGUGGUCUUUUUCAGAGGUCUACUCUCCAUUUAAACCCAUUUUUCUAAUAACACAUGAAACUUGUCAUCAUCAAAAACAAACAAAAAAAGUCAAAAGAUUUGGCCACUUGAUCAAAGAGUAUAUGCAGAUGUCAAAGAAUAUAUAUAUAAACAGAUACAUAACAUUAGUCAUCAAGGAACUGCAGAUUAAAACCACAUGAGAUACAAUCACACAUUCACUAGAAUUGCUAAAAUAGAAAGGAUACCAUUGGCAAGAAUUGAUGAGGAUGUAGAGCAACUGAAACGCUGGUUCAUUGCUGGCGGGAAUGCAAAAUGGCACAACCAACUUUGAAAAAUAUUUUGGCAGUUCCUUAAAAGGUUAAAAACACACCUGUCAUACAACCUAGCCACUUUACUUUUAAGAAUAUGAAAGUCCAUACCAGGAUUUACCCAUAAAUGUUCAUAGUAGUUUUGUUUGUAGUAGCCCAAAACUGAAAAAUAUCUAAACAUCUAUCAGCAAAUGAGUGUAUAAAAGAAUUGUUCUAAGUUAAUACACCAGAAUAUUACUCUAAUAAAAAAGGAAUGAAUUACCGAUACAUGCAAAAACAUAGAUAAUCUCAAAAGCAUUAUGCUAAGUGAAAAAGUGGACCCAGAAGACUAUAUUCUUCUAUUUAUAUAAAAUUAUAGAAAAGACAAAACUAGAGUUAUAGAAAGCACUAGUUUCAAUCAGUAGUUUCCAAGUGCUGG
rnacentral:lncRNA from 1 species